AGAAGCUGGACUAAUUUGGAGGAAAUCCAGGACGCGCUACGAUCCCAAAUACGUGAUCACACACAGGUUACUUUUCCUGAUAUUCCUGACCCAAAUUUUGCAUCAUACCAUUUGGUAGACCUAGCAGAACAAAGAAGAUCUGUUACUCUGGAAGCUUUAAAACGAAUGUGGAACCGGUUAA